UGGGGAAUAUUGCACAAUGGAGGGAACUCUGAUGCAGCGACGCCGCGUGAACGAAGAAGGCUUUCGAGUCGUAAAGUUCUUUUAUAUGGGAAGAUAAUGACGGUACUAUAAGAAAAAGCCCCGGCUAACUACGUGCUAGCAGCCGCGGUAAUACGUAGGGGGCUAGCGUUGUCCGGAAUCACUGGGCGUAAAGGGUUCGCAGGCGGAAAUGCAAGUCAGGUGUAAAAGGCAGUAGCUUAACUACUGUAAGCAUUUGAAACUGCAUAUCUUGAGAAGAGUAGAGGUAAGUGGAAUUUUUAGUGUAGCGGUGAAAUGCGUAGAUAUUAAAAAGAAUACCGGUGGCGAAGGCGACUUACUGGGCUCAUUCUGACGCUGAGGAACGAAAGCGUGGGUAGCAAACAGG
rnacentral:rRNA from 1 species